rnacentral:rRNA from 1 species
AUAGAGGAGUGCUCGAAGAGAGCCGUAACACAGGUGCUGCAUGGCUGUCGUCAGCUCGUGUCGUGAGAUGUUGGGUUAAGUCCCGCAACGAGCGCAACCCUUGUCAUUAGUUGCUACAAAGGGGCACUCUAAUGAGACUGCCGGUGACAAACCGGAGGAAGGUGGGGAUGACGUCAAGUCCUCAUGGCCCUUAUAGUGGGGCUACACACGUCAUACAAUGGGCUGGUACAAAGGGUUGCCAACCCGCAGGGGGAGCCAAUCCCAUAAAGCCAGUCGUAGUCCGGAUCGCAGUCUGCAACUCGACUGCGUGAAGUCGGAAUCGCUAGUAAUCGUGGAUCAGCAUGUCACGGUGAAUACGUUCCCGGGUCUU